UACCAGACUCCUACGGGAGGCAGCAGUGGGGGAUAUUGCACAAUGGGGGAAACCCUGAUGCAGCGACGCCGCGUGAGUGAAGAAGUAUUUCGGUAUGUAAAGCUCUAUCAGCAGGGACGAAAAUGACGGUACCUGAGUAAGAAGCCCCGGCUAACUACGUGCCAGCAGCCGCGGUAAUACGUAGGGGGCAAGCGUUAUCCGGAUUUACUGGGUGUAAAGGGAGCGUAGACGGUUAUGCAAGUCUGGAGUGAAAGGCGGGGGCUCAACCGCGGGACUGCUUUUGAAACUGUUAAGCUUGAGUGCAGGAGAAGUAAGCGGAAUUCCUAGUGUAGCGGUGAAAUGCGUAGAUAUUAGGAGGAACACCAGUGGCGAAGGCGGCUUACUGGACUGUAACUGACACUGAGGCUCGAAAGCGUGGGGAGCAAACAGGAUUAGAUACCCCAGUA
rnacentral:rRNA from 1 species